UACGAAGGGAGCUAGCGUUGUUCGGAAUUACUGGGCGUAAAGGGCGCGUAGGCGGCUUGAUAAGUUUGAUGUGAAAGCCCUGGCUUAACCUAGGAACAGCAUUGAAUACUGUCAGGCUAGAGGCCGAGAGAGGGAAAUGGAAUUGCGAGUGUAGAGGUGAAAUUCGUAGAUAUUCGCAAGAACACCAGUGGCGAAGGCGAUUUCCUGGCUCGGUACUGACGCUAAGGCGCGAAAGCGUGGGGAGCAAACAGG
rnacentral:rRNA from 1 species